GAUGAACGCUAGCUACAGGCUUAACACAUGCAAGUCGAGGGGCAGCACAGUGUAGCAAUACAUGGGUGGCGACCGGCGCACGGGUGCGUAACGCGUAUCCAACCUUCCCGUUACUCUUGGAUAGCCUUCCGAAAGGGAGAUUAAUACAAGAUGGUAUUCAAAUUCCGCAUGUUAUUUGAAUUAAAGAUUUAUCGGUAACGGAUGGGGAUGCGUGACAUUAGGUAGAUGGCGGGGUAACGGCCCACCAUGGCGACGAUGUCUAGGGGUUCUGAGAGGAAGGUCCCCCACACUGGAACUGAGACACGGUCCAGACUCCUACGGGAGGCAGCAGUGAGGAAUAUUGGUCAAUGGUCUGACGACUGAACCAGCCAUGCCGCGUGAAGGUGACGGCCCUAUGGGGUCUUAAACUUCUUUUGCAAGGGAGCAAUAAGGUCUACGUGUAGAUCGAUGAGAGUACCUUGCGAAUAAGCAUCGGCUAACUCCGUGCCAGCAG
rnacentral:rRNA from 1 species